GUUUGGUUCGGAUAUAAGUAAGAACUAGUUCAUACCAGAAAUAGGUACAACUUUAGGUAUAGGCGAGAACUAGACCAAUUUUGUGUUUGGAUAAAAAUUUGAUUGUUUUCGGGAAUAAGAAAAAUAGCGUUUGGAUAGAUAAGAUAGAAUAAAAGGAAUAGUGAGCAGUAAUAAAUUAAAAGUAACAUUUAAUAUUACUCAUCUCAUUAUAUUUAAUUUUUAAAUUUUUAAAUUUUGCAUUUAUAAUUUUAAAUUUAAAUUUUUAACUUUUAAAUUUUAAAAUUUGAAAUUAAAAUUUAAAUUUUAAAUUUUCAAAUUUUUAAUUUUAAAAAUUUAAAUUUUAA
rnacentral:lncRNA from 1 species